UCCACACCUCACCACACAUCAGCUAUCACAGUGGAGAGGUGGUCCCAGAAAGAAGAACAAGCUCCAGAUGGCUGUGUGGGAGGUGUCGUCCAUGGUCACAAGGCACAUGGAGGAGUCAGAGAGGCGCUUCUUCGAGGAGGAGAUGAGGUGGUCCCAGAAAGAAGAACAAGCUCCAGAUGGCUGUGAGGGAGGUGUCGUCCAUGGUCAAAACACACUUGGAGGAGUCACAGAGGCACUUCAAGGAGGAGUUGAAGUGGGACGCUGAAUGAAAAGCAUGGCAGAGAAACCUAACAACCGACUUACAGAAUUCGCCAUAUAGACUAACAUGUUGAAAAAUCUUUCAAACAGCCAGCACAACGUCAACCACCUUCUAUGUACAGGUGCUAUUUACCUUCCCCAGGGCCGCCGCUUCACUCAGCUACCACCCAUUUGACCACCCAUUCCCUUCCACCAUACAUCUCCUCAUCAAAAAUGACCCCAGGAAGAGGCGGAAGAGGGGCCACAACUGUAUUUUCGUUAACAUACACAAAAUAGAUGACAUGGAUAAUAAUCAUUCUUCUGCUGUUCAAUUGAUGAAUAGUUUUGUUUAUUUUUAUUGUUACAA